GCUGGUUUUGAAGACUUUUCCUAAAUAGAGUUUUCCAUCGUGCGAGAAACUAACAACGCAGUCUUGAAGAGCCUACAGGACACACUGAUGGAAUCUCAGUUUCACACUGGCUAUGAAGGAAAAACACUAAAUAUCCAUUUGCAAUAUUUCGAGCUCUGUUUACAAUAAUACAAGGAUAAUAAUUCCCGUCCAUGUAAGCCAGUAACAUAUUUGAGCAAGGAUUGCUAAAAACAAUCAAAAAACACAGCAUAAUGAAAAAUGUAUAUAAAUUGAUUAAAUCUUACGAUAUAUUAGAAGGAAAA